rnacentral:rRNA from 1 species
GACGAACGCUGGCGGCGUGCUUAACACAUGCAAGUCGAACGGAAAGGCCCUGCUUUUGUGGGGUGCUCGAGUGGCGAACGGGUGAGUAACACGUGAGAAACCUGCCCUUGACUUUGGGAUAACUUCAGGAAACUGGGGCUAAUACCGGAUAGGAGCUCCUGCUGCAUGGUGGGGGUUGGAAAGUUUCGGCGGUUGGGGAUGGACUCGCGGCUUAUCAGCUUGUUGGUGGGGUAGUGGCUUACCAAGGCUUUGACGGGUAGCCGGCCUGAGAGGGUGACCGGCCACAUUGGGACUGAGAUACGGCCCAGACUCCUACGGGAGGCAGCAGUGGGGAAUAUUGCACAAUGGGCGGAAGCCUGAUGCAGCAACGCCGCGUGCGGGAUGACGGCCUUCGGGUUGUAAACCGCUUUCGCCUGUGACGAAGCGUGAGUGACAGUAAUGGGUAAAGAAGCACCGGCUAACUACGUG